UAGAGGAAGUAAAAGUCGUAACAAGGUUUCCGUAGGUGAACCUGCGGAAGGAUCAUUAACAAAUGCGAAACGGGGGAGCUGUCGCUGGCCUUUUGGGGCAUGUGCACGCUCCGUCGAAUCCAAUUUAAACCUGUGAACCAACGGCGGAGGGGUCUUUGAGGUUGCUACGGCGCCGAGGGGGCCUUUCCUGCUUAUUAUACACCCUUUGUAUGUUCAGAAUGUCUUUUGCGUAUUUUCGCAACAUAUACAACUUUCAGCAACGGAUCUCUUGGCUCUCGCAUCGAUGAAGAACGCAGCGAAAUGCGAUAAGUAAUGUGAAUUGCAGAAUUCAGUGAAUCAUCGAAUCUUUGAACGCACCUUGCGCGCUCCGGUAUUCCGGAGCGCAUGCCCGUUUGAGUGUCGUGGUAUCAUCAAACCUCCAUCGUUUCGGCGGUGGUUGGCUUGGAUAUGGAGGYGUUGCUGGGCCCUUUUGGGUUCGGCUCCUCUCAAAUGCAUUAGCUGGGACGUUCGGUCUAAAGGCUCUGGCGUGAUAGUGAUGUUGCGUCGUGGUCUGAGGCCUCUUGUGUCACCGCUUCCAAUCGUCCGCGAGGACAGCAUUGUUUUUGACCUUUGACCUCAAAUCGGGUAGGACUACCCGCUGAACUUAAGCAUAUCAAUAA
rnacentral:rRNA from 1 species